GAUGAACGCUGGCGGCGUGCCUAAUACAUGCAAGUCGAGCGAACGGACGAGAAGCUUGCUUUUCUGACGUUAGCGGCGGACGGGUGAGUAACACGUGGAUAACCUACCUAUAAGACUGGGAUAACUUCGGGAAACCGGAGCUAAUACCGGAUAAUAUUUUGAACCGCAUGGUUCAAUAGUGAAAGACGGUCUUGCUGUCACUUAUCGAUGGAUCCCGGCUGCAUUAGCUAGUUGGUAGGGUAACGGCUUACCAAGGCAACGAUGCAUAGCCGACCUGUGUGGUGGAUCGCCCACCUGGGAACUGGACCACGGACCAGACUCCUACGGGAGGCACCAGAAGGGAAUGUUCGGCAGUGGUCGAAAGCCUUACGGAGUAGGCCGGCGUGAGUUGUGAAGGUCUUGGGUUAGUAAACCUCUGUUUUUGGUGAAAACCAUAUUUGUAAUUAGCUGUGCACAUCUUGACGGUACCUAGUCAAAAAGCAACGGCUAACUACGUG
rnacentral:rRNA from 1 species